AUUGAACGCUGGCGGCAUGCCUUACACAUGCAAGUCGAACGGUAACAGGUCUUCGGAUGCUGACGAGUGGCGAACGGGUGAGUAAUACAUCGGAACGUGCCUAGUAGUGGGGGAUAACUACUCGAAAGAGUGGCUAAUACCGCAUGAGAUCUACGGAUGAAAGCAGGGGAUCGCAAGACCCAGUGCUACUAGAGCGGCCGAUGGCAGAUUAGGUAGUUGGUGGGAUAAAAGCUUACCAAGCCGACGAGCUGUAGCUGGUCUGAGAGGACGAUCAGCCACACUGGGACUGAGACACGGCCCAGACUCCUACGGGAGGCAGCAGUGGGGAAUUUUGGACAAUGGGCGAAAGCCUGAUCCAGCAAUGCCGCGUGCAGGAUGAAGGCCUUCGGGUUGUAAACUGCUUUUGUACGGAACGAAAAGCCCUGGGUUAAUACCCUGGGGUCAUGACGGUACCGUAAGAAUAAGCACCGGCUAACUACGUGCCAGCAGCCGCCGUAAGAC
rnacentral:rRNA from 1 species